rnacentral:rRNA from 1 species
CCCUUAGAUGUUCUGGGCCGCACGCGCGCUACACUGAUGCAUUCAACGAGCCUAUCCUUGACCGACAGGUCCGGGUAAUCUUUGAAUCUGCAUCGUGACGGGGAUAGAUUAUUGCAAUUAUUAAUCUUCAACGAGGAAUGCCUAGUAGGCGCAAGUCAUCAGCUUGCGUCGAUUACGUCCCAGCCCUUUGUACACACCGCCCGUCGCUCCUACCGAUUGGGUGUGCUGGUGAAAUGUUCGGAUCGGCCGUUUGUCGCGGUUUCCGCGUCAUGUGGCUGAGAAGUUCAUUAAACCCUCCCACCUAGAGGAAGGAGAAGUCGUAACA